GGGUUCGUAGCUCAGUUGGUUAGAGCGUCACGUUGACAUCGUGGAGGUCACAGGUUCGAGCCCUGUCGAACCCA
rnacentral:tRNA from 1 species